GUACAAUCGCAGUGCCGGAUUUCCCCCUGCAAUGCCGCGGCAUCCGUCACACGAAGGAUGUUUGCUGAGCACGUCCAGAAAGGCUCGUGUCAUCGUCUUCCACUCCCCGUGACCAACGUCCCGCUCUCUGCUUCCACGUAUGCCCCGGCCUACAGCAGCUGCGCCGUUUAAGUAUCUUCGGUGCUAUCGGAGCCAGCGUUGCGCUUGCGCCACCAGCCCACCGUGAGAAGAGGAUUAAAGGAGGCGCAGCGGUACCAGCACCUUAUUCUGGCAGUCGUUGUGGCAACAGAAACACACAUUGACCAACGUUCUUUGCAUCCGCAGUCUAGUCGGUGAACAUUGCCUACAAAUGCGGAGCUCGCCAGAAGAAUUCAUGACAUUGAAUCCAAGCUUGGAAAC